rnacentral:rRNA from 1 species
UACGAAGGGGGCUAGCGUUGCUCGGAAUGACUGGGCGUAAAGCGCGCGCAGGCGGCUAUCCAAGUCAGUGGUGAAAGCCCGGAGCUCAACUCCGGAACUGCCAUUGAAACUGUUUAGCUUGAGGACGAGAGAGGUGAGUGGAAUUCCCAGUGUAGAGGUGAAAUUCGUAGAUAUUGGGAAGAACACCGGUGGCGAAGGCGGCUCACUGGCUCGUAUCUGACGCUCAGGCGCGACAG